GAUGAACGCUAGCUACCCGUUUAACACAUGCAAGUCGAGGGGCAGCAUGGUCUUAGCUUGCUAAGGCCGAUGGCGACCGGCGCACGGGUGAGUAACACGUAUCCAACCUGCCGUCUACUCUUGGACAGCCUUCUGAAAGGAAGAUUAAUACAAGAUGGCAUCAUGAGUCCGCAUGUUCACAUGAUUAAAGGUAUUCCGGUAGACGAUGGGGAUGCGUUCCAUUAGAUAGUAGGCGGGGUAACGGCCCACCUAGUCUUCGAUGGAUAGGGGUUCUGAGAGGAAGGUCCCCCACAUUGGAACUGAGACACGGUCCAAACUCCUACGGGAGGCAGCAGUGAGGAAUAUUGGUCAAUGGGCGAGAGCCUGAACCAGCCAAGUAGCGUGAAGGAUGACUGCCCUAUGGGUUGUAAACUUCUUUUAUAAAGGAAUAAAGUCGGGUAUGGAUACCCGUUUGCAUGUACUUUAUGAAUAAGGAUCGGCUAACUCCGUGCCAGCAGCCGCGGUAAUACGGAGGAUCCGAGCGUUAUCCGGAUUUAUUGGGUUUAAAGGGAGCGUAGAUGGAUGUUUAAGUCAGUUGUGAAAGUUUGCGGCUCAACCGUAAAAUUGCAGUUGAUACUGGAUAUCUUGAGUGCAGUUGAGGCAGGCGGAAUUCGUGGUGUAGCGGUGAAAUGCUUAGAUAUCACGAAGAACUCCGAUUGCGAAGGCAGCCUGCUAAGCUGCAACUGACACUGAGGCUCGA
rnacentral:rRNA from 1 species